rnacentral:ncRNA from 1 species
UGUCUACGAGAUUUCUUUUAUGCACAAAAAAAAAAAAGAGAAAAAAAUUGAGGGAUAAGUUUUAUCUUCAAAAGGGAAACAUCCCAAAUCACCAACUAAGGCCCCCUACAUGAUUGCUAAGUGAUAAAAGAGGUAGGAUGUAGAUAUUGACAAGAGGUUUGCCUAGAAGUAGUCACCCUUCAAAGAGUGCGUAAUAGUUCAUCGAUUGAGGACGAAGAUGAACGGGCUAAGCAAUUUCCCAAAGUUGUGGGAUGUAAAAAUGAAAUGGUAGGGGAUCGUUCUGCCUUAGAACGAAGGACCGACGCGGGCAAGUUUGGAUGAAGUGGAAGCU